UUUCCGUAGGUGAACCUGCGGAAGGAUCAUUCAUAAUAAGUGUUUUAUGGCACUUUUUUAAAUCCAUAUCCACCUUGUGUGCAAUGUCAGGGUUGAUUUUUCUUUCGAGAGGAUCAGCCCCAAACAUCAACUAUAUCUCAACUCUUCGUCUGAAAAAUAUUAUGAAUAAAACAAUUCAAAAUACAACUUUCAACAACGGAUCUCUUGGCUCUC
rnacentral:misc_RNA from 1 species